rnacentral:rRNA from 1 species
AUUGAACGCUGGCGGCAGGCCUAACACAUGCAAGUCGAGCGGAUGAAGGGAGCUUGCUCCUGGAUUCAGCGGCGGACGGGUGAGUAAUGCCUAGGAAUCUGCCUGGUAGUGGGGGAUAACGUCCGGAAACGGGCGCUAAUACCGCAUACGUCCUGAGGGAGAAAGUGGGGGAUCUUCGGACCUCACGCUAUCAGAUGAUCCUAGGUCGGAUUAGCUAGUUGGUGGGGUAAAGGCCUACCAAGGCGACGAUCCGUAACUGGUCUGAGAGGAUGAUCAGUCACACUGGAACUGAGACACGGUCCAGACUCCUACGGGAGGCAGCAGUGGGGAAUAUUGGACAAUGGGCGAAAGCCUGAUCCAGCCAUGCCGAGUGUGUGAAGAAGGUCUUCGGAUUGUAAAGCACUUUAAGUUGGGAGGAAGGGCAGUAAGUUAAUACCUUGCUGUUUUGACGUUACCAACAGAAUAAGCACCGGCUAACUUCGUG